AAAGUGGCUCUAUUUCAUUCUAUUUCACUUUCUAGCACGGUGGAAACUACCAAGCUGGAGUAUGGUAGGGGCAAAGGAAAUUUCCGGUGGAGCGGUGAAAUGCAUUGAGAUCGGAAAUAACACCAACGGCGAAAGCACUCUGCUGUGCCAACACUGACACUGAG
rnacentral:ncRNA from 1 species